rnacentral:rRNA from 1 species
AUGCUCGUUUGGAAUGUUCAUGGGCUCAACUCGUCUGCAAGACGAGGUGUAGUCAGAAGACUGGUGCAUCAAUCCGAUGUAUCCCUAAUCUGUUUCCAAGAAUCGAAGCUUUCCUUUGUUGCUAGCGCGGAUGUUGUUGAGUGUUGUGGCCCGGCGUUCACCAAAUUCUGCUUCCAGCCGGCGGAUGGUACUAGGGGAGGAAUUGUGUUUGCCUGGAAGGAUGAUCACAUUGAAGUGUCC